CAUAGCUUAACUUACUGGUCUCUGAGGCCACGGAACAUGUCGGUGAGAGUCCCAGCGAUGGUGUACUUAUAGGCUGAUGAUGUGAAGGGGUUCAUAGCUUAACUUACUGGUCUCUGAGGCCACGGAACAUGUCGGUGAGAGUCCCAGCGAUGGUGUACUUAUAGGCUGAUGAUAUGAUGGGAUUCAUAGCUUAACUUACUGGUCUCUGAGGCCACGGAACAUGUCGGUGAGAGUCCCAGCGAUGGUGUACUUAUAGG